rnacentral:rRNA from 1 species
AUGGAGAAUGUUGUAAUGUUGAUUGUUGGCGCUGGGCCAGCAGGCCUUGCAACAGCAGCAUGCCUUAGCCAAUUCUCAAUUCCCUAUGUCAUUGUCGAGUGUGAAAGUUGCAACGCAUCGCUUUGGCGCAACCAUGCCUACGACCGCCUCAAGCUACAUCUUGCAAAGGAGUUCUAUGAGUUGCCACACAUGUCAUACCCACUAGAUGUGCCAACAUACAUACAAAAAACUUUGUUUGCAAAGUACUUGGAUGACUAUGUUGAGCGUUUCAAUAUUCAACCCAAGUAUCUCACUAGUGUGGAGUCAUCCACAUUUGAUAAUGAAGAAAAAUGUUGGUCCAUCAUGGCACAUGACAUGGCAAAGAGCACAAUAGUCAGGUUCACGGCAAAGUUUCUUGUCGUGGCAAGUGGUGAGAAUAGUGCAGAGAAUAUUCCAAUGAUCCCCAGACUGCAAAGUUUCCUGGGUGAUGUCAUCCACUCCUCAAGCUACAAGUCAGGCAAGAGCUACUCUGGCAUGGAUGUAUUGGUCGUUGGAUCUGGCAACUCUGGAAUGGAAAUUGCUUAUGACCUUGCGGCCCAUGGUGCCAAUACUUCAAUCAUUAUACGAAGCCAGAUUCAUGUAAUGACAAAAGAAUUAAUCCGGUUGGGGAUGACACUUGCUCGCCAUCUUCCACUGAAUCUAGUGGAUAACCUCCUUGUGAUGGCGGCGAAUUUAAUAUUUGGAGACCUAUCGAGGUAUGGCAUCAGAAGGCCAAAAAUCGGUCCAGGGCUAGUGUGCUAG